rnacentral:lncRNA from 1 species
CUAGCCAGAGGUGAGUGGAAUAAUAUCUUAUGCUUUAAAAGUAAAUUAAUGAAAGUAACAGCAUGAUCCAUGCAUCAUGAAUGCCAUGAGCUUAUUUAGGAUGUUUGCAUUAGAAAUCACGAAUAUGUUGCAUUGCAUUUUAGUUUGUUGAUGUGGGUGAAUAUUGAAUGAUCCUUUAUUCCUCAUCAGAGUAUGGUAUGGUAUGGUUGGGAAGACCAGGGAAGCCCAUUCUACGCCUCCCUGACACUAUUGGAAAUGUUAUGUUAUGACAGUAUGAGUAAGAGAAAGACCAGGGAAGCCCAUUCUACGCCUCCCUGGCAUUAUUGGAAAGUAUUGAGGGCUAUUGGUGACAAGUUCACCCUUGAUGUGAUAUGUUUAUGAUGUGAUGCAUUUUCAUGAUAUCAUGAAUUAAAAUUAUGAUAUUUGUUUUAUUCUGCUCACUGGGCUCUAGUAGCUCACCCCUCUUCCUUAACCCCCAGGUUUGCAGGUACGGGCUAGUUCAGGAGUUCAACUAGAGUGAAGAUAUAAUCUUUGUAAUAGCUAGAUGUGGACAUGAGAAUUAUGUAAUGUACAAUGUUUAACAGUUAUGUAAUGUAAUGUAUGUCUUUGAGGAUUAGUAUAUGUGCUUGACCAUAGUUUGUUGUUGAUCCCGUUUGUACAUGAUUUAUUUUAUGAGUAUUGAUGUUGAUGU